UAAAGGGUGUACUGUGACUCUCAGGUUCUAGACUACUGUGAUUGUGUGGUGCUAGUUGACGAACAUAAGACGUACAACUAUUCCUGGGAAAUGUGGGGUGUUGGUGGUAAUCUCCUGUCUACCCGCUCAGAAGCCCCAGAUAGAGACUGUCCCCAUGAGAUGAGAUCUGCUAUCCAUUCCCAUUCAACAUCCAUGAUGCUCUUCAGCCCCUCUCAGCCCCAUUCAGUCCCAGUCAGUUGCCUGCCUUACGGUCCCCUUUGAAAUGACCUUAUCUCUGUCUUCCAGGCUGACCCUGGCUAGAGGGCCUUUUCCACAUUAAACAGAGAAAACCUAUUAUCCUACUGUUACUGGAGACAGUCAGUCUGUCAAUCAAACACAGGCCAUGGACCAUCAUGAGACAGUCUGGUUUGCUAACUGUACUCUCUAAGCCUUUCUCAGUGGUAGCAUGUGACAUGUGUACAUGAGCUGCAUCACCACGGCCAACACGUCUAGCUAGAGAGACGUCUCGUGUGUUUGCGUAGGCAGGUGCCAUAGGCAUCUUGGCAACCGUGAUUUCGUGUCACUGAUCUAGACACAUUACCCCAUGGUGUCAAAGUGGAAUUGUAUUUUCAUAUUUGUUUACAAAUGAAUAAAAA
ensembl:lncRNA